UUCACUUUACUUUGGUUGAUAGCUGUAAGAGAGCUGUUAGGUCAUGGCUUGAAUGACCUGGUGAUUGACCAUCUGGUGAAGGGGAGUGGUUGACCUAGGGAGCACAGGCAAACUGCACCUGUGCUCCCCACAUGACCAGAAGGGGGUAGACUCAGACUGGAGCCACCUUGAGUUCAUAUAAGUGCCUGCCACUGAAGGGGGGGGCACCUCUUAAUGCUAGGCUGCUUUCUGGGAAGGAGUGUUGUAUAGACAAGGUGCUGCUUCAUGAGUUGGAUCUCCUAUACAGAACAUAGCAGUGCACUGGGGAGGACUCAUCAGCCUGAAGUGACCAUGCAUCUUGUGAUGGAGGCCAGCAGUGCUAUCCUCAGAGAUGUCAGCUUUGCUCAUUUCAAUCAGAUUUUUAUCUCCAUGAAGUCUUUCUGAAGACAGCAUUCUUUUUAGUCAGUUGGAUAUGUCUUCCUAGUUCUUCUCAAGUGAUUGUUUUUCAGUGAUUCUUGUAAACUGAAAGGAAUGGAUGUUCCCAGUGAUUAGGUCUUGAACAUUUCCCAUGAUUUUUUGUUUAGAGUAUGACUGAAUUUCACGUUUUUAGCUAGUGAACAAAAGUGAUGUUUUUUAAAAUCUUCUCUGUUGUGGUUGAUGAAGCUGGGAAAAAUAUCUGUUUCCUGAAGUUUAGAGCUUAGUUUUUCUGCCUUUUAUAGAGUAUUUGCUUAGGAUUUGUUUCUCCUUGGACUUUACAUAAGAAAACUGUAUGUUAAAGAAUACUUAAUGAAAGUCUUCUAGGAGACAGGCAUGUUUAUCAGUCAUGAUGGUUGUGUAAAAAAUUCUUGUUGAAAUCUUCCUUUAUUUGCACAUAGGCAAAUCAGUACACAUGACUGUUAAAUAGAUUUUUACUCUCAAAGACAAGAACAAUUUGACUUUCUAAUACUGUCAAAUUAGUCUUCAUUCAGAGUCGGGAGGGACUUCACAAUGAAGUGGAAAUAUGUAGAUGAUGUGUGCUAAGAGCUUGUAUGCAGAUCAAUAUAUACAAUUAUCAAUAAAACUGAGGAG